UAAUACGAAGGGGGCUAGCGUUGUUCGGAGUUACUGGGCGUAAAGGGCGCGUAGGCGGCCGGUCAAGUCGGGUGUGAAAGCCCGGGGCUCAACCCCGGAUGUGCAUUCGAGACUGAUUGGCUUGAGGACGGGAGAGGAUGGUGGAAUUCCCAGUGUAGAGGUGAAAUUCGUAGAUAUUGGGAAGAACACCGGUGGCGAAGGCGGCCAUCUGGACCGUUUCUGACGCUGAGGCGCGAAAGCGUGGGGAGCAAACAGGAUUAGAUACCCUGGUAGUCCACGCCGUAAACGAUGAGUGCUAGACGUUGGGGAGCCUAGCUCUUCGGUGUCGCAGCUAACGCAUUAAGCACUCCGCCUGGGGAGUACGGCCGCAAGGUUA
rnacentral:rRNA from 1 species